AUGUGGGAAACCACGAUGCGGGAAACCCAAGUGCCAGCACUAUGUGUUGGCUGUCCUCAACUGUUCGUAAGUUGGGAAGAAAGUGCUGGGUAAGACGGGUGCCAGCCGCCGCGGUAAUACCCGCAGCACAAGUGGUGGUCAUUAUUAUUGGGCCUAAAGCGUCCGUAGCUGGUUUGUUAAAUGCCUGGGUAAAUCGAUGCGCUUAACGUAUCGAACUCCGGGUAGACUGGCAAACUCGAGACCGGGAGAGGUGUAGGCUACUCGCGGGGUAGGGGUAAAAUCCUGUAAUCCUGCGGGGAGGACCAGUGGCGAAGGCGCUACACUAGAACGGCUCUGACAGUGAGGGACGAAGCCCUGGGGCGCAAACCGGAUUAGAUACCCCGGUAGUCC
rnacentral:rRNA from 1 species